CCUACGGGUGGCAGCAGUGAGGAAUAUUGGUCAAUGGGCGCUAGCCUGAACCAGCCAAGUAGCGUGAAUGAUGACUGCCCUAUGGGUUGUAAGCUUCUUUUAUAUGGGAAUAAAGUCCAGUAUGUAUACUGCUUUGCAUGUACCUUAUGAAUAAGGGUCGGCUAACUCCGUGCCAGCAGCCGCGGUAAUACGGAGGGUCCGAGCGUUAUCCGGAUUUGUUGGGUUUAAAGGGAGCGUAGGCGGGUUGUUAAGUCAGUUGUGAAAGUUUGCGGCUAAACCGUAAAAUUGCAAUUGAUACUGGCAUCCUUGAGUACAGUAGAGGUAGGCGGAAUUCGUGGUGUAGCGGUGAAAUGCGUAGAUAUCACGAAGAACUCCGAUUGCGAAGGCAGCCUGAUGGACUGUAACUGACGCUGAUGCUCGAAAGUGUGGGUAGCAAACAGGAUUAGAUACCCGAGUAGUC
rnacentral:rRNA from 1 species